rnacentral:rRNA from 1 species
UGGGGAAUAUUGCACAAUGGGCGGAAGCCUGAUGCAGCGACGCCGCGUGGGGGAUGAAGGCCUUCGGGUUGUAAACUCCCUUCGACAGGGACGAAGCGUAAGUGACGGUACCUGUAUAAGAAGCACCGGCUAACUACGUGCCAGCAGCCGCGGUAAUACGUAGGGUGCGAGCGUUGUCCGGAAUUACUGGGCGUAAAGAGCUCGUAGGUGGUUUGUCGCGUCGUCUGUGAAAUUCCGGGGCUUAACUCCGGGCGUGCAGGCGAUACGGGCUGACUUGAGUGCUGUAGGGGAGACUGGAAUUCCUGGUGUAGCGGUGAAAUGCGCAGAUAUCAGGAGGAAUACCGAUGGCGAAGGCAGGUCUCUGGGCAGUAACUGACGCUGAGGAGCGAAAGCAUGGGUAGCGAACAGGAUUAGAUACCCUGGUAGUCCAUGCCGUAAACGGUGGGCGCUAGGUGUAGGGGGCUUCCACGUCUUCUGUGCCGUAACUAACGCAUUAAGCGCCCCGCCUGGGGAGUACGGCCGCAAGGCUA